rnacentral:rRNA from 1 species
AUUGAACGCUGGCGGCAGGCCUAACACAUGCAAGUCGAGCGGAUGAAGGGAGCUUGCUCCUGGAUUCAGCGGCGGACGGGUGAGUAAUGCCUAGGAAUCUGCCUGGUAGUGGGGGAUAACGUCCGGAAACGGGCGCUAAUACCGCAUACGUCCUGAGGGAGAAAGUGGGGGAUCUUCGGACCUCACGCUAUCAGAUGAGCCUAGGUCGGAUUAGCUAGUUGGUGGGGUAAAGGCCUACCAAGGCGACGAUCCGUAACUGGUCUGAGAGGAUGAUCAGUCACACUGGAACUGAGACACGGUCCAGGCUCCUACGGGAGGCAGCAGUGUGGAAUAUUGGACAAUGGGCGAAAGCCUGAUCCAGCCAUGCCGCGUGUGUGAAGAAGGUCUUCGGAUUGUAAAGCACUUUAAGUUGGGAGGAAGGGCAGUAAGUUAAUACCUUGCUGUUUUGACGUUACCAACAGAAUAAGCACCGGCUAACUUCGUG